CCCGCUGAACUUAAGCAUAUCAAUAAGCGGAGGAAAAGAAACCAACAGGGAUUGCCUUAGUAACGGCGAGUGAAGCGGCAACAGCUCAAAUUUGAAAUCUGGCUCUUUCAGGGCCCGAGUUGUAAUUUGCAGAAGAUGCUUUGGGUGUGGCUCCGGUCUAAGUUCCUUGGAACAGGACGUCAUAGAGGGUGAGAAUCCCGUACGUGACUGGGUGCCUUCGCUCGUGUAAAGCUCUUUCGACGAGUCGAGUUGUUUGGGAAUGCAGCUCAAAAUGGGUGGUAAAUUUCAUCUAAAGCUAAAUAUUGGCCAGAGCCCGAUAGCGCACAAGUAGAGUGAUCGAAAGAUGAAAAGCACUUUGGAAAGAGAGUUAAACAGUACGUGAAAUUGUUGAAAGGGAAGCGCUUGCAAUCAGACUUGCGCGCUGUUGAUCAUCCGAGGUUUUCCCCGGUGCACUCGGCAGCGUUCAGGCCAGCAUCGGUUUUGGUGGGCGGAUAAAGGCCUUGGGAAUGUAGCUUCUUUCGGGGAGUGUUAUAGCCCUCGGUGCAAUGCGCCCUACCGGGACCGAGGACCGCGCUCCGGCUAGGAUGCUGGCGUAAUGGUUGUAAGCGACCCGUCUUGAAACACGG
rnacentral:rRNA from 1 species